UCUCUUUCUAUUCCAUCAGCCGCUCUCUCACAUCUCAGCUCUCACCCCACGAUUGAAAAAACAUCCAGAUCUGUGAGACAAGAUCUGAAAAUCAAAGAUCCAAUAAUCCAAAAAUCGAAGAUCCAAGGUACGAAUCCAAGUUUAUGAUUUUUAGAUUAUCAUUUGUUUCCAGUUUCAUAUGUGCUUUGAAAGUUGGAAGGAUGGAUUGGAAUCUGAUGCAUAGAUUAGGAAGAUUAUGUUUUUAUUUCGACUUUUAAGACAAUGUUUUGCUUUAUGUUGGAUAUGUUAUGUGAUUUAGAACAAUGGAUUGUGUUGGUUUUUUUUUUUUUGAACAUCGGAUCUUUAAUCUUUUAUUUGCUGUUUGG
rnacentral:lncRNA from 1 species